rnacentral:rRNA from 1 species
UACGAAGGGGGCUAGCGUUGCUCGGAAUUACUGGGCGUAAAGCGCACGUAGGCGGCUUGUUAAGUCAGGGGUGAAAUCCUGGAGCUCAACUCCAGAACUGCCUUUGAUACUGGCGAGCUUGAGUUCGGGAGAGGUGAGUGGAACUGCGAGUGUAGAGGUGAAAUUCGUAGAUAUUCGCAAGAACACCAGUGGCGAAGGCGGCUCACUGGCCCGAUACUGACGCUGAUGUGCGAAAGCGUGGGGAGCAAACAGG